rnacentral:rRNA from 1 species
UCGAGCGGACAGAAGGGAGCUUGCUCCCGGAUGUUAGCGGCGGACGGGUGAGUAACACGUGGGUAACCUGCCUGUAAGACUGGGAUAACUCCGGGAAACCGGAGCUAAUACCGGAUAGUUCCUUGAACCGCAUGGUUCAAGGAUGAAAGACGGUUUCGGCUGUCACUUACAGAUGGACCCGCGGCGCAUUAGCUAGUUGGUGGGGUAAUGGCUCACCAAGGCGACGAUGCGUAGCCGACCUGAGAGGGUGAUCGGCCACACUGGGACUGAGACACGGCCCAGACUCCUACGGGAGGCAGCAGUAGGGAAUCUUCCGCAAUGGACGAAAGUCUGACGGAGCAACGCCGCGUGAGUGAUGAAGGUUUUCGGAUCGUAAAGCUCUGUUGUUAGGGAAGAACAAGUGCGAGAGUAACUGCUCGCACCUUGACGGUACCUAACCAGAAAGCCACGGCUAACUACGUGCCAGCAGCCGCGGUAAUACGUAGGUGGCAAGCGUUGUCCGGAAUUAUUGGGCGUAAAGGGCUCGCAGGCGGUUUCUUAAGUCUGAUGUGAAAGCCCCCGGCUCAACCGGGGAGGGUCAUUGGAAACUGGGAAACUUGAGUGCAGAAGAGGAGAGUGGAAUUCCACGUGUAGCGGUGAUAUGCGUAGAGAUGUGGAGGAACACCAGUGGCGAAGGCGACUCCCAGUGGCGAAGGCGACUCUCUGGUCUGUAACUGACGCUGAGGAGCGAAAGCGUGGGGAGCGAACAGGAUUAGAUACCCUGGUAGUCCACGCCGUAAACGAUGAGUGCUAAGUGUUAGGGGGUUUCCGCCCCUUAGUGCUGCAGCUAACGCAUUAAGCACUCCGCCUGGGGAGUACGGUCGCAAGACUGAAACUCAAAGGAAUUGACGGGGGCCCGCACAAGCGGUGGAGCAUGUGGUUUAAUUCGAAGCAACGCGAAGAACCUUACCAGGUCUUGACAUCCUCUGACAACCCUAGAGAUAGGGCUUUCCCUUCGGGGACAGAGUGACAGGUGGUGCAUGGUUGUCGUCAGCUCGUGUCGUGAGAUGUUGGGUUAAGUCCCGCAACGAGCGCAACCCUUGAUCUUAGUUGCCAGCAUUCAGUUGGGCACUCUAAGGUGACUGCCGGUGACAAACCGGAGGAAGGUGGGGAUGACGUCAAAUCAUCAUGCCCCUUAUGACCUGGGCUACACACGUGCUACAAUGGACAGAACAAAGGGCUGCAAGACCGCAAGGUUUAGCCAAUCCCAUAAAUCUGUUCUCAGUUCGGAUCGCAGUCUGCAACUCGACUGCGUGAAGCUGGAAUCGCUAGUAAUCGCGGAUCAGCAUGCCGCGGUGAAUACGUUCCCGGGCCUUGUACACACCGCCCGUCACACCACGAGAGUUUGCAACACCCGAAGUCGGUGAGGUAACCU